rnacentral:lncRNA from 1 species
UGCCCUCUGAGAAAUUUUGACGCAAACUAGGCCACGGCAGAUUUUUUUUUUUAAAUGGGGAAAAGAAUGAAAGAGAAGAGCGAGGGAAAGGACGAGAAAGGAGAAUCCAUUAAGUUGAGCUUCUGAACACCGGAUCAUGGCACGGUGGAACAGCUCUGGAACAGGACCACCAUGGAAAAAAGCACUCCAGAAUAACAACUGGUCCAAGUCAGACCUGUGUUUUCUCUGCUCUUCUACUUGCAGCAACGAUGGCAAUUAAACGGGUCUUUUAUUAUGAAGACCAGAGACCCAUCUCAGAAGCCUGGCCAUUCAUCCAUUGUAUGUCAGCCAAAGAUAUUGUCCAUGGGUGCAUAAGUCUGUAUGUGUGUCCAUUCCUCUUCCACCUGACCAAAAAAUACAAGCACAGAAACUAUCUCAACAUCUUGCAAGUGAAACAAAAAUACUGACACUCAGGGCACAUUGUACUAGAGAGCACUGUGGCCAAGACCCUUCUGUUUCUCAACAUACAAUUAGAACUGAGAACUUGCAGAAGGAAAAAAAAAAAAACAAAGGUUUUUUUUUGCCCAAAAAUGGAGCAUGACACCAUGAACCAAAAUAAACAAAGGGUGCUGGAGCGGGCGUG